rnacentral:rRNA from 1 species
UACGAAGGGGGCUAGCGUUGCUCGGAAUCACUGGGCGUAAAGCGCACGUAGGCGGAUUUUUAAGUCAGGGGUGAAAUCCCGGAGCUCAACUCCAGAACUGCCUUUGAUACUGGGAAUCUAGAGUCCGGAAGAGGUGAGUGGAACUCCGAGUGUAGAGGUGAAAUUCGUAGAUAUUCGGAAGAACACCAGUGGCGAAGGCGGCUCACUGGUCCGGUACUGACGCUGAGGUGCGAAAGCGUGGGGAGCAAACAGG